rnacentral:rRNA from 1 species
GAUGAACGCUGGCGGCGUGCUUAACACAUGCAAGUCGAACGAUGAAAGCGGGAGCUUGCUCCUGCUGGAUUAGUGGCGAACGGGUGAGUAACACGUGAGCAAUCUGCCCCGAACUCUGGGAUAAGCGUUGGAAACGACGUCUAAUACCGGAUACGACACGCGAAGGCAUCUUCUGCGCGUGGAAAGAACUUCGGUUCGGGAUGAGCUCGCGGCCUAUCAGCUAGUUGGUGAGGUAACGGCCCACCAAGGCGACGACGGGUAGCCGGCCUGAGAGGGUGACCGGCCACACUGGGACUGAGACACGGCCCAGACUCCUACGGGAGGCAGCAGUGGGGAAUAUUGCACAAUGAGCGCAAGCCUGAUGCAGCAACGCCGCGUGAGGGACGACGGCCUUCGGGUUGUAAACCUCUUUUAGUAGGGAAGAAGCGAAAGUGACGGUACCUGCAGAAAAAGCACCGGCUAACUACGCGCCAGCCGCCGCAGUUAACAC